GGGCUUGUGGUUUAGUGGUAUAAUUUUCCCUUAGCAUCUUACAGCGAUUUGUGCAGCAAUUACUGUGCGUUUCUAAAUGGGAAAGGUCCUGGGUUCGAUUCCCAGCAAGUCCA